rnacentral:rRNA from 1 species
GGUGAAAAGCACCCCGGAAGGGGAGUGAAAUAGAACCUGAAACCGUGUGCUUACAAGUAGUCAGAGCCCGUUAAUGGGUGAUGGCGUGCCUUUUGUAGAAUGAACCGGCGAGUUACGAUUUGAUGCAAGGUUAAGCAGUAAAUGUGGAGCCGUAGCGAAAGCGAGUCUGAAUAGGGCGUUUAGUAUUUGGUCGUAGACCCGAAACCAGGUGAUCUACCCUUGGUCAGGUUGAAGUUCAGGUAACACUGAAUGGAGGACCGAACCGACUUACGUUGAAAAGUGAGCGGAUGAACUGAGGGUAGCGGAGAAAUUCCAAUCGAACCUGGAGAUAGCUGGUUCUCUCCGAAAUAGCUUUAGGGCUAGCCUCAAGUGAUGAUUAUUGGAGGUAGAGCACUGUUUGGACGAGGGGCCCCUCUCGGGUUACCGAAUUCAGACAAACUCCGAAUGCCAAUUAAUUUAACUUGGGAGUCAGAACAUGGGUGAUAAGGUCCGUGUUCGAAAGGGAAACAGCCCAGACCACCAGCUAAGGUCCCAAAAUAUAUGUUAAGUGGAAAAGGAUGUGGCGUUGCCCAGACAACUAGGAUGUUGGCUUAGAAGCAGCCAUCAUUUAAAGAGUGCGUAAUAGCUCACUAGUCGAGUGACACUGCGCCGAAAAUGUACCGGGGCUAAACAUAUUACCGAAGCUGUGGAUUGUCCUUUGGACAAUGGUAGGAGAGCGUUCUAAGGGCGUUGAAGCAUGAUCGUAAGGACAUGUGGAGCGCUUAGAAGUGAGAAUGCCGGUGUGAGUAGCGAAAGACGGGUGAGAAUCCCGUCCACCGAUUGACUAAGGUUUCCAGAGGAAGGCUCGUCCGCUCUGGGUUAGUCGGGUCCUAAGCUGAGGCCGACAGGCGUAGGCGAUGGAUAACAGGUUGAUAUUCCUGUACCACCUAUAAUCGUUUUAAUCGAUGGGGGGACGCAGUAGGAUAGGCGAAGCGUGCGAUUGGAUUGCACGUCUAAGCAGUAAGGCUGAGUAUUAGGCAAAUCCGGUACUCAUUAAGGCUGAGCUGUGAUGGGGAGAAGACAUUGUGUCUUCGAGUCGUUGAUUUCACACUGCCGAGAAAAGCCUCUAGAUAGAAAAUAGGUGCCCGUACCGCAAACCGACACAGGUAGUCAAGAUGAGAAUUCUAAGGUGAGCGAGCGAACUCUCGUUAAGGAACUCGGCAAAAUGACCCCGUAACUUCGGGAGAAGGGGUGCUCUUUAGGGUUAACGCCCAGAAGAGCCGCAGUGAAUAGGCCCAAGCGACUGUUUAUCAAAAACACAGGUCUCUGCUAAACCGUAAGGUGAUGUAUAGGGGCUGACGCCUGCCCGGUGCUGGAAG